CGGACGGGUGAGUAAUGUAUGGGGAUCUGCCUGAUGGCGGGGGAUAACUACUGGAAACGGUAGCUAAUACCGCAUAACGUCGCAAGACCAAAGAGGGGGACCUUCGGGCCUCUUGCCAUCGGAUGCGCCCAGAUGGGAUUAGCUAGUAGGUGGGGUAACGGCUCACCUAGGCGACGAUCCCUAGCUGGUCUGAGAGGAUGACCAGCCACACUGGAACUGAGACACGGUCCAG
rnacentral:rRNA from 1 species